CAUAUGGAUUGUGUUCAGCAGCCGCGCGGUAAAACCCAGCACCUCAAGUGGUCAGGAGGAUUAUUGGGCGUAAAGCAUCCGUAGCCGGCUUUGCUAGUUUUCGGUUAAAUCUAUAUGCUCAACAUAUGGGCUGCCGGGAAUACUGCAAAGCUAGGGAGUGGGAGAGGUAGACGGUACUCCGUAGGAAGGGGUAAAAUCCUUUGAUCUAUGGAUGACCACCUGUGGCGAAGGCGGUCUACCAGAACACGUCCGACGGUGAGGGAUGAAAGCUGGGGGAGCAAACCGGAUUAGAUACCCGGGUAGUCCCAGCUGUAAACAAUGCAAACUCGGUGAUGCAUUGGCUUGUGGCCAGUGCAGUGCCGCAGGGAAGCCGUUAAGUUUGCCGCCUGGGAAGUACGUACGCAAGUAUGAAACUUAAAGGAAUUGGCGGGGGAGCACCACAAGGGGUGAAGCCUGCGGUUCAAUUGGAGUCAACGCCAGAAAUCUUACCCGGAGAGACAGCAGGAUGAAGGUCAAGCUGAAGACUUUACCAGACAAGCUGAGAAGUGGUGCAUGGCCGUCGCCAGCUCGUGCCGUGAGAUGUCCUGUUAAGUCAGGUAACGAGCGAGAUCCUUGCCACUAGUUGCCACCAUUACUCUCAGGAGUAGUGGGGCGAAUUAGUGGGACUGCCGUAGUUAAUACGGAGGAAGGAGAGGGCCACGGCAGGUCAGUAUGCCCUGAAACUCUGGGGCCACACGCGGGCUGCAAUGGUAGUGACAAUGGGUUCCGAAUCCGAAAGGAGGAGGUAAUCCUCAAACGCUACCACAGUUAUGACUGAGGGCUGCAACUCGCCCUCACGAAUAUGGAAUCCCUAGUAACUGCGUGUCAUUACCGCGCGGUGAAUACGUCCCUGCUCCUUGCACACACCGCCCGUCA
rnacentral:rRNA from 1 species